UACGUAGGGCGCAAGCGUUGUCCGGAAUUAUUGGGCGUAAAGGGCGCGUAGGCGGCUUAACAAGUCACUUGUGAAAUCUCCGGGCUUAACUCGGAACGGCCAAGUGAAACUGUCAAGCUAGAGUGCAGAAGGGGCAAUCGGAAUUCUUGGUGUAGCGGUGAAAUGCGUAGAUAUCAAGAGGAACACCUGAGGUGAAGACGGGUUGCUGGGCUGACACUGACGCUGAGGCGCGAAAGCCAGGGGAGCAAACGGG
rnacentral:rRNA from 1 species